rnacentral:rRNA from 1 species
AAACUUAAAUGAAUUGACGGGGACCCGCACAAGCAGCGGAGCGUGUGGUUUAAUUCGAUGCUACACGAAGAACCUUACCUGGGCUUGACAUGUACGUCGUAGGGAACCGAAAGGUAACCGAUCCUUCGGGAAGCGUACACAGGUGCUGCAUGGCUGUCGUCAGCUCGUGCCGUGAGGUGUUCGGUUAAGUCCGACAACGAGCGCAACCCUUGUUGCCAGUUAUACUUUACUGGCGAGACUGCUGGCAUAUAACCAGAGGAAGGUGGGGAUGACGUCAAGUCAGUAUGGCCUUUAUGUCCAGGGCUACACACACGCUACAAUGGCCGGUACAGAGGGUAGCCAAGCCGCGAGGCGGAGCCAAUCCCAGAAAGCCGGUCUCAGUCCGGAUUGAAGUCUGCAACUCGACUUCAUGAAGGCGGAAUCGCUAGUAACCGCGAAUCAGCAGGUCGCGGUGAAUACGUUCCCGGGCCUU